rnacentral:rRNA from 1 species
GAUGAACGCUGGCGGCGUGCCUAAUACAUGCAAGUCGAGCGAGCGGACGAGAAGCUUGCUUCUCUGAUGUUAGCGGCGGACGGGUGAGUAACACGUGGAUAACCUACCUAUAAGACUGGGAUAACUUCGGGAAACCGGAGCUAAUACCGGAUAAUAUUUUGAACCGCAUGGUUCAAAAGUGAAAGACGGUCUUGCUGUCACUUAUAGAUGGAUCCGCGCUGCAUUAGCUAGUUGGUAAGGUAACGGCUUACCAAGGCAACGAUGCAUAGCCGACCUGAGAGGGUGAUCGGCCACACUGGAACUGAGACACGGUCCAGACUCCUACGGGAGGCAGCAGUAGGGAAUCUUCCGCAAUGGGCGAAAGCCUGACGGAGCAACGCCGCGUGAGUGAUGAAGGUCUUCGGAUCGUAAAACUCUGUUAUUAGGGAAGAACAUAUGUGUAAGUAACUGUGCACAUCUUGACGGUACCUAAUCAGAAAGCCACGGCUAACUACGUGC